AUUGAACGCUGGCGGCAGGCCUAACACAUGCAAGUCGAGCGGAACGGCGGACGGGUGAGUAAUGCCUAGGAAUCUGCCUGGUCGUGGGGGAUAACGUCCGGAAACGGGCGCUAAUACCGAAUACUCUCAUCUGAGCCUAGGUAGGAUUAGCUAGUUGGUGGGGUAAAGGCCUACCAAGGCGACGAUCCGUAACUGGUCUGAGAGGAAGAUCAGUCACACUGGAACUGAGACACGGUCCAGACUCCUACGGGAGGCAGCAGUGGGGAAUAUUGGACAAUGGGCGCAAGCCUGAUCCAGCCAUGCCGCGUGUGUGAAGAAGGUCUUCGGAUUGUAAAGUACUUUCAGUUGGGAGGCGUUACCAACAGAAGAAGCACCGGCUAACUUCGUGCCAGCAGCCGCGGUAAUUC
rnacentral:rRNA from 1 species